rnacentral:rRNA from 1 species
UCCUACGGGAGGCAGCAGUGGGGAAUCUUAUACAAUGGGGGCAACCCUGAUCUAGCCAUGCCGCGUGAGUGAUGAAGGCCCUAGGGUCGUAAAGCUCGUUCGCCUGUGAAGAUAAUGACGGUAGCAGGUAAAGAAACCCCGGCUAACUCCGUGCCAGCAGCCGCGGUAAUACGGAGGGGGUUAGCGUUGUUCGGAAUUACUGGGCGUAAAGCGCGCGUAGGCGGACUGUUAAGUCGGGGGUGAAAUCCCGGGGCUCAACCCCGGAACUGCCCUCGAUACUGGCAGUCUUGAGUUCGAGAGAGGUGAGUGGAAUUCCGAGUGUAGAGGUGAAAUUCGUAGAUAUUCGGAGGAACACCAGUGGCGAAGGCGGCUCACUGGCUCGAUACUGACGCUGAGGUGCGAAAGUGUGGGGAGCAGACAGGAUUAGAUACCCUGGUAGUCCACACCGUAAACGAUGAAUGCCAGUCGUCGGGUAGCAUGCUAUUCGGUGACACACCUAACGGAUUAAGCAUUCCGCCUGGGGAGUACGGUCGCAAGAUUAAAACUCAAAUGAAUUGACGG